rnacentral:lncRNA from 1 species
AAUGGAAGGUACACAAGACCUCGCUGAGGAAAUAAAAGGAGAAGAAGAGCAGCAGUGUCCUGGCGUCCUUUCUGACUCGUCAAGAAGCGGCGCAGGCAAACGCUCGAGAAGAAAGACAGUCUAUGAAAAAGCUAUGACAAAAAGACGUCUGGAUCAGGAAAGAGCAAAAACCCGAGUUACAAUCGGCUCUGCUUUCCCCCGCUGGAGACAGCUGCGAGAGUCAAAGUGUCUGAAGACCGAUGCCAUGGUUGCCCUUUUUCUUCUGGACAAUUACGAGAAAAGUACAACAUCCACACCUUUGUUGCAUGAAUUCAUAAAGCCACCACCAGAGUUUUCCAACGGUUUUUCCGAGUCUUCGUACGAACAACACAGGCCUGAAAUCAAGUUUCUCAUUAAGGAGGAAGAGGAGGAGAAACCUGCCUGUAAAAUUGAGGGUUUAUGAGGAGAGAGAGUAGGAUGCUUCUGUUGGCAAUCAGUACGCAAUCCAUGAAUGAUAUUCUUCCUGUUCUCAGAGAUGGACCUGCUGUGAACUCUGAACCUGUGAGUAUCCUGUAGUUCAGGUCCCAGACUCUGUUGGCCCUAAAAACUGAAACACUGGAAAUGUUCAAUUUACUUAACACAAAACUUGUAAAUCAGUAUUAUAAAAUAACAUUACAUGGCAUGAAAGCAUAUAAAGAAGUUAUCAAUUUAAGAUAAUAAUAAAAAAUAUAUAUUUGAUCAAAAAAAACAAAAAAAAAAAACAACCUGCUACAAAUUGAGCUCAAAUAAGGAUUCACACAGACACACACAGAUUCACUGUAAAACCUGACGAGUUCUGAAUACUCGAAACCUUUCUGGAUACUGAUUAACUCACACCAUUUAAGUAGCUUAGUUUUUUAAAGAAAACGAUUAAUAUACAUUUGAUUUGAUUUAAUAUUUAAGUAUACUUUGCUUAAAACUAUUUACUUUACAUAAUGUUUUUCAUCUGUAUAUUAUUUUGAUGCAGUAGUGCUUGAUUAAAUACACAUACUAAAUAAAAAAUAUGUACAUGUAACUUAUAGUCUAAUCAUGCUGAAGUCCA